rnacentral:rRNA from 1 species
ACGGGAGGCAGCAAUGAGGAAUUUUCCGCAAUGGGCGAAAGCCUGACGGAGCAAUACCGCGUGAGGGAUGAAGGAUUUUGGUCUGUAAACCUCUUUUCUCAAGAAAGAAGUUCUGACGGUACUUGAGGAAUAAGCAUCGGCUAACUCCGUGCCAGCAGCCGCGGUAAUACGGGGGAUGCAAGCGUUAUCCGGAAUCAUUGGGCGUAAAGCGCCUGUAGGUUGUUUAAUAAGUCUGUUGUUAAAGACUAGGGCUCAACCCUAGGAAAGCAAUGGAAACUACUAGACUUGAGUAUGGCAGGGGUAGAGGGAAUUUCUAGUGUAGCGGUGAAAUGCGUAGAUAUUAGAAAGAACACCGGUGGCGAAAGCGCUCUACUGGACCAUUACUGACACUCAGAGGCGAAAGGCUAGGGUAGCAAAAGGGAUUAGAUACCCCUGUAGUCCUAGCCGUAAACCGAGUGGAUAUCUAGACUGUUGUGCUUUAUGUACAGUGUUCCUAGCUAAACGCGUUAAGUAUCCCGCCUGGGGAGUACGCUCGCAAGGGUG